rnacentral:rRNA from 1 species
CAGUAAGCGGAGGAAAAGAAACUAAAUAGGAUUCCCUUA